GCGAAAAAUAGACUUUAUUGUGCCCAGAGCGGCGCGACCGCACGGCUCAGGGCCGGGGCCGCUGAGGUCCCGCUCUGCGACCCCGCCGCCUCCGUGGGGCAUCGCCCCGGAGCGUGGCACCGCGCAGCGUGGGCUGCCCUUCACCUGAAGGGGCGGCCGCGUCCAUCGAGCGCAGCUGGAAACUCAGCGCGUACCACGUCCCAGUCCUGCCUGGAGGAGCGCCCGGGCGGCUCACUCAGAACGUCUGUACACUAAGUGCCACCUCCAUAUUCACAACACAGUAACGUACUGCAAUCAGUCGCUUAAGAGUAGUUCCCUCGAGAAACAACCUUCUGCUCCGGCUGUGCGCACAGCGGGGAGCUCCCACGAGCGGGGCUAGAGUCCAUCCCCCCGUCCGUCCGUCCGUCCGUCCAUCCUCGGUCCGCCCCGCGGCGUCGCUCAGUGCCGCUGGCAAGUGUGCAGGCGGGAGGCGUCGGGACCGCCGCGGUCGCGCUGCGGGCGGCACGCCAUGCCCUCGGCGCAGGGGCAGCGCUGGAAGAUCUCGAGGCCGUGGGCUCCUUUCCGGCGGUGCCGGGUGCACACCUGCCCCUCGCGCAGCACGGGUUUGCAGAUCUUGGACCAGAAGUGGCGGGCGCAGCACAGCCCCGCCGCGCAGUCCGACGAGCGCAGGCAGAAGUCGCCCUCCUCACCUUUGGCGUCGGGCGGCCAGGCGGGCGCGGGCGUCCGUCGGGGCAGCGCCUCGGGGCCGGGCUCGUCCAGCUCGGGAGCUCCGGGCGGGGGUUCGGGGGGCGUGCAGAGCCCGUUGCUGCAGGCCGUGCCCGGGCAGCACAUGGCGUCGCGCAGGCAGCGCUUGCGGCGUCUCCUGCACGCGAGGCAGAGCGGGGGGCCGCCGCCGCGGGCCGCCCCUCCGCAGAAUUCGUCGGGGCCGCAGUCCUCGUCCUCGGAGCAGGGGAAGGGCUGCCGGGUGGCGGCCGGCGGCGCCUUGUUGCUACCGUCGAAGGGCGCGGGGGCGGCGGCGGCGGGGGCGGCGCUGGCGGCCGCCCCCACCUUGAUGGCGUUGGAGCUGAGGCCGCCGCCGGCCCCCGCCCGCCCCGCGCAGCUCAGGGCCGCCAGCAGCGCCAGCAGAGCCCGCAUCGCCCGUCUGUCCCGACCCGUCCGC
rnacentral:lncRNA from 1 species